rnacentral:misc_RNA from 1 species
CGAUUGGACGAGACAAAAAGGGGAGAAAUUGCUUGUGCUUCGCCUGGUGAAGUACGGAAAUGGAUGGAAGCCUUUGAUCGAGCAAAACAACAGGCAGAUUAUGAUCUUUCAAGAGGUCAAAGUGCAAGAGAUAAACUGAAGUUAGAGAGCGAGAUCAACCUUGCUGGACAUCGACCUAGAGUACGGCGGUAUGCGCAUGGCUUGAAG